rnacentral:rRNA from 1 species
ACGCUACGCAGGCUAUACUGCAGGUAAGGGGUACAGGAAGUGCUUGCACUUCGCUGACGACCGGCGCACGGGUGAGUAUCGCGUAUACAAUCUGCCUCAUACUAGGGAAUAGCCCGAAGAAAUUUGGAUUAAUGCCCUAUAGUAUCUUUUUAAGGCAUCUUAUUAAGAUUAAAGGCUACGGUAUGAGAUGAGUAUGCGUUCUAUUAGCUAGUAAGUGUGGUAACGGCACACCUAAGCUACGAUAGAUAAGGGCCCUGUAGAAGGGGGAUCCCCCAACAAUGGGUACUGGAGACACGGGACCCAGAAUCCUUACGGGGAAGGCGAGCAAGUAAAGGAGAUAUUUGGGCCAAUUGGCACACGAAAGGUCUGAA